GAUAGGGCUAGGCCCCCUCUCUAACCACUGACAAGAGUGACAACCUUCUGGCGUUUUAAUGAGCUUCUUGAGAUGUAUCAAACCUCUUAUGGACAGAGUCAGCAGACUAUAAAUCCAAAAGGGUUCCAAGGGAAAAUCAACUUGCAGAGAAAGACAAGUUAAAGGAAAAUGUGAUAAAAGAUAUUGGAAAUAGAAAAUCAACCUAAUACACUGGAAAUUGAAGAGACACCAGCACACUGCAGGAAUGAAUUUGCUUCUCACUUAAAUAUCUGGAGACAAGAAGACUACAACUGCAAUAGGCAAACUAUUUCACAUUUUAGUUCAAGCCUAAAAGUUGUAGCAAACAGAGUAGUAUUAAGCCUGAUGCUGAAAUGUGUCUUCAAAUUCACAGUUGAUAUACUAUGUAUGGGUACAAAUAUAUUUGAAAUAAAACUAAGCGAAACUUUUAGAAAAGGCUUCAUUUUUAAAUGUAUUAAUACCCAUACAUAACCGUGGAAUUGCUUCUUCAUUUCAAGACUCGUCCUACUAGAUAUGAGUAUUUUUUAGUUGUAUUUCAUGAGCAUCACAUUUAAUACUACAGAUAGAAAACUGCUCUUGGUUAUAUGGGUAUGGUCUUCAAAGACUUUGGUACUAGACUACAGACUUCAAUCCUUUGUAUAUGAAAUGUAUAAGUCCCAGUUUCAGGGUAUGUCAGUAAGAUGGAUAAGCUUUUACUAUAUCGUCUUUUUUCAACUGGGCUAAAAUUGAAAAGACUGUUUUAAGACCUAAAACUUGCUUACUAUUAGGGAUUGUUUUAGCUAGUUCUUUAGAGUAUGUAGUUGAUUGCCUAUUAGAGAUAUACUAAAUAGUAAUGCACAAUGAGAGGGAAUUUAUGACUGUCAUUUUUAUUUUUGUGGACUUAAGACUACAGGUGCUUAAUUGAGUAUAUUAUAAUUUUUGAGAAGGUUGACUACUAAGGCUAAGAUAUAAGAUCUUAGUUUCAGUAAGACCAUGCAUUUAACAAGGAACAUGUCAAAAUUUUCUUCAGCUUGAAGUAACUAGUUAAUUGUGAGUAUACAUACUUUGAUUAUUUUUGUCUAGCUGUUUUUGAAAGUUACAUUGACCACAGCAGCCGCAUUUACCACUGUUUGCUUUUCACUCAAGACAUCAGACUCGUCCAACAUUUAAAACAGUAAUGGUGAAGAACCAGAUUUUUCCCCAGAAUUCUCCACAUGUUGUAAAUUUUGAAUCACAACACAUUGUUCCAUACACACAGAAUAAUAAAGGAUUUUUUUUCCAUCCAUUCAGUACCUUUAAGGUUUCUGCCGGUGCUUGUAAGAUUGUUGAAAUUUUUCAGCUUGUAACAAAAGUACAGUAGUGAACCAUGUAUAAUUUUGAAGUUAGGCAUGUCAGAUAGCCAGUACCGUACGUAUGCAUGAUAAGUUAAGUAUAUCUUAGUUUUACCAGACCACUGAGCUGAUUAACAGUCCUCCUAGGGCUGGCCCGAAAGAUUAGAUAUUUUUACUUAACUAGGAACCAAUUGGAUACCUAGCAAUGGGACCUACAGCUUAUUGUGGGAUUGGAACUACAUAAUAUCGAGAAAUAAAUUUAUAUCACCAGAAAUAAAUUCCACUGGUUCUGCGUUCGCCGAGCCGAGAAUUGAACUUCGGACCACCGGAUUGGUAGCAGAGCGCGAAAUACUCUUCCAACUUGGAACUAGUAUGCAUGAUACAAUGAUGGUAUGAGCUUUAAUGUAAGAUGUCAAGGACUUAAAAGCAGAGUGAUAAUCGUGAAAAUGGGUCACCUGAGUAGAGGCAGCCAUGGUACCAGAUCUAAAUUGUGGAAGUUAUGCGAGCCUAGGAGGGACCCUAAGCAGUCAGGCAUUGAUAGACAACCGUCCUUCAAAAUUUUUUUUGAAGACGAUAGAAGUGACAAUUGACAGUUCACACACUUCAUCCCUCAACCUCCUUCAGCACCUAUGAGAAAACAAGGGUUUUCAUCAUAUAUCAUCUUUUAACGUAACUACUAGAAGACACACUUAUGCCUAAGUGUGGUCUUAUGCCCAAGUGUGGAAAUGUUAGGAUGGCAGAGAAAACUCUAAUACAAGAUCUUGCAGUAUAAAUCAAAAUCUGCUCUGGAUUCCAACAAGCUGCCUUAUCAAGUACCAAUUUGGUUAAAUCGACUACUUAAUUUGGUUAUGAACCAGAGUAUAUAGUGAAAGUAUAGCCUAAGAGGAUCAUAAAUAAUCAUAUUGAUUAUAAUCAAGAGAACAAUCUGCAAGCACCUAGAGAAUCUGAUUGAGAAACUCCAAUGAUCAAUAGAGUAACAGCUAUGUAAACAACCACUCAUUGGUAGAGUGGUAAAGCAAUACUUAUUGAAGACAAAACGAUGAAUGGGAGACUACAACAAUCCCUAAAAAUGUUUGGAUUGAAUCUGCUUUUGCAACAUGCAUAUACUAUUAUUAUAUAGUUCAGUCUUCAAACAAUCAUUAACUUUCUCACUGUUACUACAUCAAUCAGGGACUCAGAACUACAAAGUGAAGAUAAUGAUCAAAAGCUCUGUCAACCUGUUUUAUAGAUCUGAAACUUUCAUGAAGCUACAUAACAGAUGUGGGAAGAAAUUGAUCCAGAGUUUUGCUUGCAUUAAAGUCCCAAAUUUAAUUUACACAGCCAACAAGGGUAUGAAAAACUCCUUAAAACGUUGUCCCUCUCCAUAUACGGAAACUUGUGCAGAAAGCUAUCCUGCAAAAAUAGCAGACCCUUGUGCUGUAUGUCCGAAAGUCAAACCUGGUUCUUAAGAGAAGAUUGAAGAUUGCUAGAAGACUUUGGCAAUUUUCAAUGUCUGGGCAGGCAAGGCUAUACCUUGGAAAGUUUCUACUUUUUAAUGUGCAAACUGAAUGUGUUCCAGGCAUACCCAAGGUGUAGCAGCAUUUGCGCACAUAUUUAAUAUCAGUUGCGAAGAUGUCAGGCAUUUGGGCGUCAUCAGGCCUACCAAGGAUACCAACCUUGGUCAGCCUGUUGUCCCACUUCAUGUCUUCUCACGUUCCUGUUUAGCCCGCCAAGACAGUUUCCAGACCAUCAUCCGUCAACAGUGUACUCUGCUCAGCAUGUUGGGUUGACAUCUGCAGUGAUAACGUCUUUUUGUGUUUCUGCCUCAACCACCAAGACGGUUUCCAGAUCUGCAGCUCUCUCUGCAUCUUUGCCUAGAGCUAUAGUUCCUCUGAUGUCUUCUUAGCUGUCAACGGUGUACUCCGAUUAGUGUUUUGGGUUGGUUACCACAAUGGCGACUUCUGCUCCUGCUCUGUCUUCAGACACUCGUUCAAGUAGCCUUAGACAAAGUUAACUUUGUUUUUCAAGGGAGUCGUGAAGAGGGAACAUCGCAAGCCUCCAUCUUUGUCUUCGUCUUCAGUAAAGAGGAAAUGUCUCAGGCCUCUUAUCUGUCUUCACCUUCAUCUUCUAAUUCAACUUCGUCAUCAUCUGCCAUCAGACCGUGAAGGAUUAGAGUUCGUUACUGCUCCUCACUUGAGAAUUCGUAGGACCAUCUCAGAAUCUUCCUACCCAUAAUCUUCUGACCAUGUAUUUGGCUUUUCUGCUCACGGCAGUGCUUCUGAUGUGGAAGUAUCAUGUCCAAUGCAGGAUAAUUUCAGGACAGUUGGAAGCAAGUGAAGACUGCACAUACACAGCCAAGGAUGUAAUUAAAAGUACAAAAAUUCAGGCCCAUAAGAAACUAUGAUGCAGAUAUCUUGCCUGGCUUUCAGCAUCACUGCAGGUUAGUUACCUGCUGUCAGCUGUUGCAUCAACCAACUGCAAAUGGAUCAUAUUACACCCUAUCAAGUCAGUCCAUGAGGGGAGAAUCUCUAUGACCUGAUAAUUAAGGAUUUUAAAUACUAGUAACAAGUUGUUGCUGAUAAAACCUUUUGGAGUGCAUGUUAAGAAGCAAAAUUCACAGUAAUAAAUGUAAGUUAAGGUAAUUAGCUAAUGUUACCAUUAUCCACGUUUCACAUUUUACUUGGGUUUGUACACUUUAAUUAUUAAAAUCUCUACCCAAAGCUUUGAUGUUCAUUCCCCAGCUUACAGUUUCUCAUUGCUGUCUAAAUGUUCGUCCAUUACCUACACAACUUGCUUCACAAAAAUCAACCUUCAUUCUCAGCUUCAGACUUUUCAAAUAAAAAAUCUCCAGACUAGUAGGCUGUACUACCCAAGCCAAUUCAAAUGAACAUUUUAAAGGAACUUGUGUAAACUCAGAACAAGCACAAUACUGCUUAAGGAAAUAAUAUAAACUGUAAGAUGAAAAAAAAACCAGAAAUCUUGCCCAUCCUUCUCACGAAAAUUGCAAAAUACUGUGUUGUCUGCACCAGACAACCUUCUCUACAUGGCAGUUUAUAACUUGUAACAGAAAGGUGAAAUUUAUAAUUUCUUUGGUAAAAAUGAUAAAAAUGUAGUUGCAAUUAUGCCUGGGAAUAUAGUGCAAUGUACACAAAUCCAAGGAAGUUUUAUAAAUACAUCUAAUAUGAGAAAAAAAUAGCUAUAGCUUUCAGGCUAAAUUUUAGUUUCAUAAGCAUGCUACCCAAAUUCUACUGUCUGCCACAUUCUCUGCAAUCCCAAACCACACAAGAUAUAGCUUCAUAAGCCCUAGCUUAAGUGAUCAUUAACCUGACCAUGUCCACUCCAGUUCUUCUUAAAAUAGGAGACCAAUGACAUUUGUCAGAACUUUCAUCCCUCACACAAAACAAAAAGUCCUUAGAAAAACGAGACCAUGCACAUUUCCCACCUCUUAAGAAGAAUAUUCUCUCAAGGAAAAAUCAUUUAAGAUCACAACAGGAUGGCACACAAAAAUAUAUGCAGGGAAGGCAUAUGUACUUGAGAAAAUAAAAAAAACCUUCAAAACAUCCACCAAACAAAAAUAACAAAAUAGUGAGAUUUUUCAUUGGUGAAAAUAUGCCUUCAAUUGUAAUUAACUUCCAAUUAAGUUUUUUAUUUAAGACCUUUCACUUUCACAACAUUUGAAGUUUAGUAUAGCUUCAUGAGAACAAAGCAACUUCAAACUAUUGUCACAUUUAUAACAAGAUUAAAACCAUCACACUUACCAAUCCA